AGUCCAUGGUUCGGCCAAUUCUUGACCAAGCCCUUAAAACGCUCCCAUGCAGCGUUUAAGGUCUCAGCAUCUUCUUGUUCAAAGUUCAUAAUCUCUCGAUGCCU